rnacentral:rRNA from 1 species
CCUACGGGAGGCAGCAGGGAGGAAUAUUGGUCAAUGGCCGAGAGGCUGAACCAGCCAAGUCGCGUGAGGGAUGACGGCCCUACGGGUUGUAAACCUCUUUUGUCGGGGAGCAAAGAGAGACACGUGUGGCUCAUUGAGAGUACCCGAAGAAAAAGCAUCGGCUAACUCCGUGCCAGCAGCCGCGGUAAGACGGAGGAUGCGAGCGUUAUCCGGAUUUAUUGGGGUUAAAGGGUGCGCAGGCGGAGGUGCAAGUCAGUGGGCAACUUGCGGGGCUCAACCCCGUACUGCCGUUGAAACUGCCUCCCUUGAGUGCGCCAGCAGUAUGCUGCAUGCGUGUUGUAGCGG